rnacentral:rRNA from 1 species
UGAGUACGAGCUGCUACGGCAGCGAAGUGGGUGAUGUCAAGCUUCCAAGAAAAGCCCUAUACCCGUUAAGGCAUGAUGGCCUGUACCCGAAACCGACACAGGUGGGGUGGUAGAGAAUACCGAGGGGCGCGAGAUAACUCUCUCUAAGGAACUCGGCAAAAUGGCCCCGUAACUUCGGGAGAAGGGGUGCCACCGCAAGGUGGUCGCAGUGAAGAGGCCCAGGCGACUGUUUACCAAAAACACAGGUCUCCGCUAAGUCGCAAGACGAUGUAUGGGGGCUGACGCCUGCCCAGUGCCGGAAGGUUAAGGAAGCUGGUCAGCGUAAGCGAAGCUAGCGACUGAAGCCCCGGUGAACGGCGGCCGUAACUAUAACGGUCCUAAGGUAGCGAAAUUCCUUGUCGGGUAAGUUCCGACCCGCACGAAAGGCGUAACGAUCUGGGCGCUGUCUCGGAGAGAGGCUCGUCGAAAUAGAAUUGUCUGUUAAGAUGCGGACUACGUGCACCCGGACAGAAAGACCCUAUGAAGCUUUACUGUAGCUUGGUAUUGUGCCCGGGCUCUGAAUGCGCAGGAUAGGUGGGAGGCUUUGAUCCAUUGCUUGUGGGUGAUGGUGAGCCAACGGUGAGAUACCACUCUUUCAGAGCUAGGGUUCUAACGGUCACCCGUCAUCCGGGGACCGGACAGUAUCAGGUGGGCAGUUUGACUGGGGCGGUCGCCUCCUAAAAGGUAACGGAGGCGCGCAAAGGUUUGCUCAGGCUGGUUGGAAAUCAGCCGACGAGUGUAAAAGCAGAAGCAAGCUUGACUGUGAGACCUACAAGUCGAACAGGGACGAAAGUCGGCUUUAGUGAUCCGACGGUUCUGAGUGGAAGGGCCGUCGCUCAACGGAUAAAAGUUACUCUAAGGAUAACAGGCUGAUCUCCCCCAAGAGUUCACAUCGACGGGGAGGUUUGGCACCUCGAUGUCGGCUCAUCGCAACCUGGGGCUGAAGUCGGUCCCAAGGGUUGGGCUGUUCGCCCAUUAAAGCGGUACGCGAGCUGGAUUCAGAACGUCGCGAGACAGUUCGGUCCAUAUCCGGUGCAUGCGCAGGAAUAUUGAGAGGAUUUCUCCCUAGUACGAGAGGACCGGGAGGAACGCACCUCUGGUGUGCCAGUUAUCGUGCCAACGGUAAACGCUGGGUAGCCAUGUGCGGAGAGGAUAACCGCUGAAAGCAUCUAAGUGGGAAGCCCACCUCAAGAUGAGUAUUCCCAUGGCGUUAGCCAGUAAGGUCACGGGCAGAACACCCGUUGAUAGGCUCUACGUGGAAGCCGGGUAACCGGUGAAGCGGAGGAGUACUAAUAGACCGGGGGCUUGACC